rnacentral:sRNA from 1 species
UUGACAAUCUGACCGUGAAGGCAUACUUUCAGGAGUGAGGGUUGAGCGGGGUUUCCCCCGCCCUGGUAGUCUUAGUAUGCUGGGUAGCUAAUCACUAAGAGCACCACGAUGAUGAUCCACUUCAUCAUGACCCUUUCCUUAUU